rnacentral:rRNA from 1 species
UCCGCCCGGGUAAUACGAGCAUUAGCUUAAAACCCAAAGGACUUGGCGGUGCUUUAGACCCCCCUAGAGGAGCCUGUUCUAGAACUGAUAACCCCCGUUAAACCUCACCACUCCUUGUCUUACCCGCCUAUAUACCACCGUCGUCAGCUUACCCUGUGAAGGUAACAUAGUGAGCAUAAAUGGCAUAGCCAUAAACGUCAGGUCGAGGUGUAGCGAAUGGAGUGGGAAGAAAUGGGCUACAUUCUCUAUUG